ACUCCUACGGGAGGCAGCAGUGGGGAAUAUUGCACAAUGGGCGCAAGCCUGAUGCAGCCAUGCCGCGUGUAUGAAGAAGGCCUUCGGGUUGUAAAGUACUUUCAGCAGUGAGGAAGGCGGGUGUGUUAAUAGCGCAUUCGUUUGACGUUAGCUGCAGAAGAAGCACCGGCUAACUCCGUGCCAGCAGCCGCGGUAAUACGGAGGGUGCGAGCGUUAAUCGGAAUUACUGGGCGUAAAGCGCAUGCAGGUGGUUUGUUAAGUCAGAUGUGAAAGCCCGGGGCUCAACCUCGGAAUUGCAUUUGAAACUGGCAGACUAGAGUACUGUAGAGGGGGGUAGAAUUUCAGGUGUAGCGGUGAAAUGCGUAGAGAUCUGAAGGAAUACCGGUGGCGAAGGCGGCCCCCUGGACAGAUACUGACACUCAGAUGCGAAAGCGU
rnacentral:rRNA from 1 species